AGAGUGAACGCUGGCGGUAGGCCUAACACAUGCAAGUCGAACGGCAGCACAAUGGUAGCAAUACCAUGGGUGGCGAGUGGCGGACGGGUGAGGAAUACAUCGGAAUCUACCUUUUCGUGGGGGAUAACGUAGGGAAACUUACGCUAAUACCGCAUACGCCCUUCGGGGGAAAGCCGGGGAUCGCAAGACCUGGCGCGGAUAGAUGAGCCGAUGUCGGAUUAGCUAGUUGGUGAGGUAAUGGCUCACCAAGGCGACGAUCCUUAGCUGGUCUGAGAGGAUGAUCAGCCACACUGGGACUGAGACACGGCCCAGACUCCUA
rnacentral:rRNA from 1 species